ACGGGUGAGUAACGCGUAGGAAUAUGCCUUAAAGUGGGGGACAACUUGGGGAAACUCAAGCUAAUACCGCAUAAUCUCUUUGGAGAAAAGCUAGGGACCUUCGGGCCUGGCGCUUUAAGAUUAGCCUGCGUACGAUUAGCUAGUUGGUAGGGUAAAGGCCUACCAAGGCGACGAUCGUUAGCUGGUCUGAGAGGAUGACCAGCCACACUGGAACUGAGACACGGUCCAGACUCCUACGGGAGGCAGCAGUGGGGAAUAUUGGACAAUGGGGGCAACCCUGAUCCAGCAAUGCCGCGUGUGUGAAGAAGGCCUGAGGGUUGUAAAGCACUUUCAGUGGGGAGGAGGAUUGCUAGGUUAAGAGCUAGGUAAUUGGACGUUACCCACAGAAGAAGCACCGGCUAACUCCGUGCCAGCAGCCGCGGUAAUACGGAGGGUGCGAGCGUUAAUCGGAAUUACUGGGCGUAAAGGGUUCGUAGGUGGUUAAUUAAGUUAUCUGUGAAAUCCCCGGGCUCAACCUGGGCAGGUCAGAUAAUACUGGUUAACUCGAGUAUGGGAGAGGGUAGUGGAAUUUCCGGUG
rnacentral:rRNA from 1 species